AACCCCUACUUGUUAGUUGCCAUCAUUCAGUUGGGCACUCUAGCGAGACUGCCGGUAAUAAACCGGAGGAAGGUGGGGAUGACGUCAAAUCAUCAUGCCCCUUAUGACCUGGGCUACACACGUGCUACAAUGGUUGGUACAACGAGUUGCGAGUCGGUGACGGCGAGCUAAUCUCUUAAAGCCAAUCUCAGUUCGGAUUGUAGGCUGCAACUCGCCUACAUGAAGUCGGAAUCGCUAGUAAUCGCGGAUCAGCACGCCGCGGUGAAUACGUUCCCGGGCCUU
rnacentral:rRNA from 1 species